rnacentral:rRNA from 1 species
GACGAACCACCCAAACGUUAUUCGGAAUCACUGGGCUUAAAGCGUGCGUAGGCGGCCUUGAAAGUUAGGUGUGAAAUCCCACAGCUCAACUGUGGAACUGCGCUAAAACUACAAGGCUAGAGGGAUAUAGAGGUGAGCAGAACAGAUGGUGGAGCGGUGAAAUGCGUUGAUAUCAUGAGGAAUACCAGAGGCGAAGGCGGCUACCUGGACAAUUGCUGACGCUCAGGCACGAAAGCGUG